UAAUUCAAAGCCAUCAGGAAGCACAAGAAAACCGAAUUUCAAUUCAAUACGUAUGAUUGCUCGUAUAGCGGAAGCUAGGAAGGCCACAAACGUGCUUAAGUACUGCACAAAAUUAUCUUCGUAUAAGAACAGUUUUAUUAACGAUGCUCGAAGAGACCUAAGGAAAAGCCAUGCUGCAUAUUUUGCCAAGGGGACCAUGCAAGCAGUUUCCGUGGUUGCGCGGAAUACAAGAAGAAGUUUGAAGAAAGAGGACUGCCUAGGACUCAGAGGAAACCACCCCCAGAUGUCACACAAGAAAAUUUUUCUGAGCUAGUAACGGCAGACCCUCGGCCGAGCAGAGCUGCGAGCAAAGCCAGCUUCAGUGAAAAGUUGAGAAAUAAGCCUACAACGUCGCCAAACAUCCUGGAAGGACUCCUAUCCUGGUUUGUCAAUCCUAUUCAAGAACUGUUUAAAGUCUUCUCCGAAAUUUUUAGCUUCCUUCCAAAUAUCAACCUAGCUGAGAUGAUUUGCUCAAAACCGUACAGAAAAUUAUGCAGAUGACCACCUAUAGACAUGGUGACUAAGCACAUGAUACCAGCGUGGAUGAUGGAUCACCUAAGAUAUCUCAAAUUUUCAAAACUUGACGGUUCUUACAAUUUCGAUUUCAAAUCAUUUUUCUCGUGAUACGAGCAGUCACUAGGUCCAGUUAUUCGCCUGAGUGACGAGUUUAAACUUGAGAUAGAAGCUAACGUCGGCGACAUCACAGCAGUUGGCACGCUCAAGACUCG